GACGGACGCAAGAUGGCGACGGCGACCAUAGCUCUCCAGGUCAAUGGCCAGCAAGGAGGGGGGUCCGAGCCGGCGGCGGCGGCAGUGGUGGCAGCGGGAGACAAAUGGAAACCUCCACAGGGCACAGACUCCAUCAAGAUGGAGAACGGGCAGAGCACAGCCGCCAAGCUGGGGCUGCCGCCCCUGACGCCCGAGCAGCAGGAGGCCCUUCAGAAGGCCAAGAAGUACGCCAUGGAGCAGAGCAUCAAGAGCGUGCUGGUGAAGCAGACCAUCGCGCACCAGCAGCAGCAGCUCACCAAUCUGCAGGUGAGCCCCAGCCGGAGCCUCCACCACCCUCCCCACCACCACCACCAUCUCCUCCUCUUCACGCUCUUCCUCCUCCUGUGCCUGCGGCCGUCCCCGCAAGCUGUUACAGUGCUCCGAUUCUCAAAGACUCAUGCUCGGGACCCCCAGGGUCCUCUCUGAGGCACGAGUGGCCCAGCCUUUCCCACCUGUUGCUCGCUGGAGCCCCGAAAGCGCCGCAGCCCCUUUCUUGGCUGCUUGGCUGUAGCUCU
rnacentral:sRNA from 1 species